UCGGACGUGGUGCAUGCGCACACCCGCUCGCAGUUUCUGUAUUUGUGAAAGAGCUUCAAUGCGGGAAUCCCGGGUUCAAUUUCUGGCGUCCGAA